GUGCCAGCCGCCGCGGUAAUACGGAGGAUGCAAGCGUUAUCCGGAAUGAUUGGGCGUAAAGCGUCCGUAGGUGGUCAUGUAAGUCUGUGGUUAAAGCGUGUAGCUCAACUACAUAACGGCCAUGGAAACUACAUAACUUGAGUAAAGUAGGGGUAGAGGGAAUUCCCAGUGUAGCGGUGAAAUGCGUAGAGAUUGGGAAGAACACCGGCGGCGAAAGCGUGUGACUGGGUCUGCACUGACACUGAGGGACGAAAGCUAGGGGAGCGAAAGGGAUUAGAUACCCCUGUAGUCCUAGCCGUAAACGAUGACAGCUAGGUGUGGUUCGUAUCGACCCGAGCCGUGCCGUAGCCAACGCGUUAAGUUGUCCGCCUGGGGAGUACGCACGCAAGUGUGAAACUCAAAGGAAUUGACGGGGGCCCGCACAAGCGGUGGAGUAUGUGGUUUAAUUCGAUGCAACGCGAAGAACCUUACCAAGGCUUGACAUCCUGCGAAUCUUCUUGAAAGGGAGGAGUGCCUUCGGGAGCGCAGAGACAGGUGGUGCAUGGCUGUCGUCAGCUCGUGUCGUGAGAUGUUGGGUUAAGUCCCGCAACGAGCGCAACCCUCGUUUUUAGUUGCCAGCAUUAAGUUGGGCACUCUAGAGAGACUGCCGGUGACAAACCGGAGGAAGGUGGGGAUGACGUCAAGUCAGCAUGCCCCUUACGCCCUGGGCUACACACGUACUACAAUGCUAUGGACAAAGGGCAGCCGACUGGCGACAGUGCGCUAAUCCCAUAAACCAUGGCUCAGUUCAGAUUGCAGGCUGCAACUCGCCUGCAUGAAGGCGGAAUCGCUAGUAAUCGCAGGUCAGCAUACUGCGGUGAAUCCGUCCCCGGGCCUUGUACACACCGCCCGUCACACCAUGGAAGCUGGUAGUGCCCGAAGUCAUUACUCCAACCUUUCGGGGGGGAGGAUGCCUAAGGCAGGACUGGUGACUGGGGUGAAGUCGUAACAAGGUAACC
rnacentral:rRNA from 1 species